UACGGAGGGUGCGAGCGUUAAUCGGAAUAACUGGGCGUAAAGGGCACGCAGGCGGAUUUUUAAGUGAGGUGUGAAAUCCCCGGGCUUAACCUGGGAACUGCAUCUGAUACUGGCAAGCUUGAGUCUCGUAGAGGGGGGUAGAAUUCCAGGUGUAGCGGUGAAAUGCGUAGAGAUCUGGAGGAAUACCGGUGGCGAAGGCGGCCCCCUGGACGAAGACUGACGCUCAGGUGCGAAAGCGUGGGGAGCAAACAGG
rnacentral:rRNA from 1 species